GGCGGUCGACUCUGGCAUUAACGAAGUCGAAGCUUCGGUUCCCGGGGAUUCCUUCCUUAGAAGAUUUCCUUGGUUGAUCCUGCCAGUAGUCAUAUGCUUGUCUCAAAGAUUAAGCCAUGCAUGUUUAAGUAUAAACCGCUUGUGCCGCAAGGUGCAAAACGGGUGAAACUGCGAAUGGCUCAUUAAAUCAGCAAUCGUUUAUUUGAUUGUGCGCUAUUGUGGUGUUUGGUUUGGGGGUUCGCCUCUGGAUCAAAGUCCGCAAAUGGCUACAUGGAUAACCGUGGUAAUUCAAGAGCUAAUACAUGAAGGAAAAACAAGGCUGACUUUUCGCAAGAGAGGAAGGCCCGCAUUUAUUAGAUACAUACGAAAACCGGAACUCAUGGGGCAACCUGUGGGCCAAAGAGUUGGCGAUUCAUAAUGACUGCGCGAAUCGCAUGGCCCUCACUCUCGGGUGGGAAUGGCUGGCGAUGGAUCAUUCAAAUUUCUGCCCCAUCAAUUUUCGAUGGUUGGAUCGAGGCCAACCAUGGUGAUGACGGGUAACGGAGAAUUGGGGUUCGAUUCCGGAGAGGGAGCCUGGAGAAACGGCUCCCACUUCCAAGGAAGGCAGCAGGCGCGCAAAUUGCCCAAUCCUGACACAGGGAGGCAGUGACAAGAAAUAACAAUGCAGGACUCUUGAAAUAUAGGGACUGCAAUUGGAAUGAGCACAAUUUAAAACGCUUUCGCGAGGAACAAUUGGAGGGCAAGUCUGG
rnacentral:rRNA from 1 species